UUGACCUCGGAUCAGGUAGGGAUACCCGCUGAACUUAAGCAUAUCAAUAAGCGGAGGAAAAGAAACCAACAGGGAUUGCCUCAGUAACGGCGAGUGAAGCGGCAAGAGCUCAAAUUUGAAAGCUGGCUCCUUCGGGGUCCGCAUUGUAAUUUGCAGAGGAUGCUUCGGGAGUGGCCCCCAUCUAAGUGCUCUGGAA
rnacentral:rRNA from 1 species